UGGUAUGCUUAACACAUGCAAGUCGAACGGGCUUGAAGGGGCAACUCUUUAAGUCAGUGGCAAACGGGUGAGUAAUACAUAGGAAUCUACCUAGCAGUAAGGAAUAACAUUGGGAAACCAAUGCUAAUGCCAUAUAUUACCGAUUUAUCGGGAAAGAUUUAUCGCUGUUAGAUGAGCCUUUGUCGGAUUAGCUAGUUGGUAGGGUAAUGGCCUACCAAGGCGAUGAUCCGUAGCUGGUCUGAGAGGAUGAUCAGCCACAUUGGGACUGCGACACGGCCCAAACUCCUACGGGAGGCAGCAGUGGGGAAUAUUGGACAAUGGACGCAAGUCUGAUCCAGCAAUACCACGUGAGUGAUGAAGGCUUUCGGGUUGUAAAACUCUUUUAGUGGGGAAGAUAAUGACGGUACCCACAGAAAAAGCACCGGCUAACUUCGUGCCAGCCGCCGCAGUAA
rnacentral:rRNA from 1 species